UCUGAAUUUUAUUGACUCAUUUAGGUCUUAGCCCUUUUUAUUACAAAUUAUUUAUUGUUUACUCACUACAGCCUGUUUUAUUUUUUCUGAAUUUUAUUAAAGGAUGAUAUUGAUGAUGAAAUGUCUUAUGAUGAACAUUUAGAGGUUUAUUUUGAACAACUGGCAAUUCCAGGAAUGAUGGAAUAAAACAUAUGAAGUAGAAGGACUGGAACCUCCAUAAAAAAAUACUUUAAGUUACCUACAAGUGAUCCUAGUCAGGUAUGAAUUGAUAAGAAAUACCUGCACCUUUCCUCCUUCCUAUCUUUCCCUUGCCUACAGAAAAUUAAAAAGUAAAACAAUGGACAUCUACAUAUUCUUCAUUCAGAUUAACAUGUUGCUAGCAUUUGCCACCUCUGCAUUUUCUUUCUCUUUCUGCAAAUGAAAACAGUAAAGUGGCAGUUUCACCCAGAAAAUAACAGCGCUGGUUGCUCAUGGCUCACACUCUUCUGAAACGACUCAGGAAGAGCCUGAGGAAGGCCAUGUUGUUUGUCUACCUGGGACUACACCUACUGAAGGAAGUUCUCAAGUUCUGAUUGAGUUCUAAAAGUUUUUUGAAGAUUGGAAUUCUUCAUAUCCCCUUUUAUGUAAUUAGGUAAAAAGAGAAAAAUACAUUCUUGAUUUUGGUGACUAGAGUUGUGGACGCCGGAAAGCUCUGCCACUAAGAUUGAUGAACCAGAUGCGUGUCACUGGCCAGUCACACUGAUUCUUAAUGCUGGCACCAUGGCCUGGCACUGUCACGUUUUCCAGGGAACCUGCCCGAGCUCCUGCAGAAGCUGCUCCUCGGGCCGAUGGAGUCCCUUAGCUGGUAGGCCCUUCUUUAGUCACCACAGGAUGCCUGCUGACUGAACAGGAAGGAGAGGAUGGGCUUUGAAUAAAACACAGACUUAAAGUCCAUUUUGUGUGACAAGCAUAGCAGUGGUGAUUCCUUUCCUUUCUGAUCUUCACCGAACCUCGCUUUUUCACACUCACCGAAAUGUCUACUUAAAGCCACGGCACCUCUUUGAAUUUUCACAUCUACCGUAUGGUGAUGGUAGAUUUCCUUUUCAUCUGUACUCUGAAGGAAUCCGAAACAGGCAUUUUUACAAGUCUAGGAAGGAAACAAAAAUCUAUGUGUCAAAAGAAUGAACAUAGAAAAUAACAUGUCCUGGUUAACAAAAGUUCUCAUUGUAAAGUGUUAUGCACAAGAUAUGGAAUUUUAUGUGCCAUAAAUGAAGUUGUCUUGUCUAAAACUACUUUUAAAAAUUACAUGUUACUUUAAUAAAGGUAUUUUUGAGAA